AGUUGCCAUCAGUGCCAGUCAGUAUCUCUCCCCCACCCCCACCCACUUUCCUUCUCCUUCUAUUAUUAUUCAAAUUCUUUAUUCUUAAAAUGCCAAGAUUACAAUAUGUUUUCAAAUGUUAACCUUUUGUGUGCUGGUUUGUGAGAAACACCUUCCCCUUAGGAAUGGCGGCAUCUUUUCUGGAAUGCUUCUGAGCUGGAGGGCUUACUCCAGUGCUCCCAGAUUACGAUUUGCCAGCAUUUAUACUGCCAUCCUUGAAGCCAAUGUCUUGUCCUGCUGAACAGGUCUGAUCUCUCUUAGCACUAUCCCAUACCAGGACUUCAUAUCCAGUUCUAACCCUCUACAACCAUGUGAGACCCAUGUCCUGGCUGGAGCACUAGAACAGUCAAAGAACUUCCCCUUCACCUGUCUUUAGCAGCACUGAUGAUGCAUCUGCCAGAAUGAUCAGGCCCUUGCUUUAUGUGUACAGGCAACCCAAUUACUACCACCACUGCUCACACAAGAAACCGCUCUUCCUUUUGUCCCUAAUGAAAUGGUACAGAAAGGAGAAACAGCCAGGACUAGCUCCAAUCACACACUCCUCUUCCCUCAUUCGUGAGGGUGUUAACUGUUCUGUACAGCUGUUUUCUACACUGAGGCUACAACAUGGAGACAACCAUGAUACGUAGGACUGUUCCCAGCUAACAGACUUGGAGAACUCUUUUAUCCCAAGCACAGUAAACUAUUUCUCCUUUCUUCUCCUUCAGCUCCAGAUACCCUGCAAUACCUUUGAAUUGCCACCAUCCUACCACUAUCUUUCCAGACAAUGAGCUAUGAACCCCCUAUCCUAUUCAGUACUUAUCAAUAUCAAUUCCUAGUCACAUAGAGGGGACCAUAUACAUGAACAUUAAAAAGACGUCCUUUGCAUUUUCCCACUGAGAGUAGAGUGCUGCUUGCACAGAUUUCCAUUUCCUACCUUUAACUGGAAAAACAUAAUAGUACAGUGUCAGCGAGGAUUUUUCCGAAUUUUGCCUAAGGAUCAUGACGUCCACAGGCAACACUUCCCCCAUCACUACAUGACUUUAUCUAUGAUUAGAGUCCCUGGGCCUAAUUCAUCACGAGUGUAACAAAGUCAAUGAGACUGUGCUACGCAUAUUAUUUUGGCACAGAGUCCUUGGAUUUUUAACAUGUCUGUACCUGGAGUAUUAAAGGAUCACUAGCAGCAGAGCCCUCCAGGGUGACUGAUACCCUUAGCAUUGUACUGUAAAGACUGAUUUCUUCUUCCUAGGCAAUCUUGUGAUUUCCCAGCUCCUCAGCUUUCAUACAAAGUUCAGAAACUUCUUAAAAUGAAGCCAAAUCAAACAAGCCUCUAUAUUUCUAAGGAUCCAUACAAUACAAGCAAGCUACCAAGCUCUGAUCAUGACUAGGGAGUUUUUGCAUAGGUUUGCAUUAGUUGUAUUUGGGACCCACUGCACAUGGGGAAUUUCAUUCAGGGAGAGAGCUGUCUGGAAGCUGGUUACACUUCUAUUUUGAUUCCUACCUGUCCCUGGAAAUCUUUUCUUUCUUUAAUAAAGCUAAACACUUUACUAAAGAUAUUUGGGAUCCUUUAAUAGGCUACAGAUUGGUUUAGGUAGGAAACUGCCACAGCUCAUAGGAUAAAGUAUCCUGGCUGUGAGUGGGGUUUGCAAAGAUGCAAUGAGCCAUCAAUCUGCAUGUGUCCUGUCAUGGGAGCUAACCAGAACUGCAGCCCCUGUGCUCUCCUAAACAUGAUUGCAGCCUUUUUCUACAGCCUCCUUGGGUACAACAUGCUUUAACAGAAGCAGGAUUACGUGAAGACAGUCCCACAGCCCUAGCCCAUCCCUGACAGUAAACAUAGGUAACAGGCAUAUGGAUGGCAUGCCAGCAUAAAGCGGAAUAGCUUAUUCCUCUUCCUAUAAACUCUACAGGUACAAAUCAAUUUAAACCAGAACAACUGCAUCCACACUAGGAGGGUUGUACCACUUUAUCUUUACUAGUAGUUAAAGCACUACAGCAUUUAUGUGUAUAAAAGGCCUUAGACUCCUAAGCAGUUAAACCCCUUAUCAAAACAGGUCACUGAUAUGUUUUUGACAAUGUAACCAUAGCCUUUUAUCUGAGGUUUGACUGCUGCAGUUGGGAGGCAUGAGUACAGCCUUCAUAGGCAUAUGUGUGCUACUUUCAUCUAGCUCAUACAGAUAACAAUAGCAAUGUAGGCAUGGUAGCAUGAACAUCAAUAAGGGCUAUAAAAAGCCUACCAGGGAACCUGAGUAUGCAUAGUAUAUUCAUAAGGCUUGCUUAUCUGCACUGAAGCCUACACCACCCCAUCUGUCACCCUACAAACACUCAAAAGAUCCAAGAUCACCACUUUUAUUUAACUUGUUACUGGAAUAAAGAUCUGAUUCCAAGUCCAGAAGGACAAAGGAUGUGUGUUAUAACUCACUCUACCACCUAAUGCUUAGUCUAAUCAUCACAGAGCUAAAAUAAACCAGUGCAUCCUUAAGGAAUGCCUUUCAAAACAAAGGCAAGGAGUUCCUUUCAAUGCCCGACAUGCAGGAAGGAUAAGGAAAUCAAAGCCAAGAAUUUCCUCCCCAUAUAAUUCAAACAAUAUCAAAUGCUGGCAAAGCCACAAAAAUGUUGUGUGUUCAAUUGUGUGAAACAGCACUUUGUUUAGACUUUGCUCCUUCAGCACGCCAAAGGUUACAGCAACAAUAGUGUAUGCAAUGCAAUCCAGUGGUUAACUUACUGAAAGAAUCCCACUUCAGUGAGAGAGAGUUAAGAGAUGGAGAGAGAAAGAAGAUGCAUGGAAGUGAAAACAAGCAGAUGAGAGAGAAUUCCUCCCAGGAGAGCUCUAUCCCCAUGAGAAUGGCCACGGAAAAAAAAUCAGCUUUUAAGGGGCUGGACACUUUCUAAACCUCCCUGCUCACCCAUAACAUUUUGACCACAAGCCUUACCCCAGCUCUCAGAGGUAGGUUAGUGGUACUCUUUCUAUUAGACACAGAAAGGUAAAGUGACUUCCAUGCUGUUAGAGACAGUCAGUAGAUGAGCUGGGGGGAAAAUUUUUCAAAAUUUCAGUCUUCCACUCCCCUGCAACCUAAUAUAUAUGGAUAAAGAUCUGGGGUUGUUUAUUGGAACGGUUAAGUCAGCCCCUUAGAACAGUUGCUCUUUUCCUAACGUAUCCAUGGAGAAAGGGGAGAAGGAAAAGCACACGUCACCACUCUUAGGGCAAUUCCCGUCAUUUGACACUGAGAUGUUCACCUGGUACCCAGCAGUCCAGAACGAAAGGAGGUUAGCCUCGUACUUUUAGUCCCUGCAUAAGUGCUCAGUGCAUCGGGACUCUGCUCAGGCUUCUAGAAACAUUUAUUUUACAGCACACAAGCCUGCAGCUGAAUCACAUACAUUGACUAGUUCAAUACCGGGAAGCCCUGUCUCAUAGAUAUAUGGACUGCUUAUGUUUUAAUGGCCUGUUUUUCAAAGGUGCUAAGUAUCCCAUUGAACUCCCCCUGAACAUCACUUGAAGUCAUGGUGCUUUCUCUGAAGCCUCUGCACUGACAGCAAUAUCAAAGUGUUGUUUAAACUUAUAUCAUAUUUUUGGGGGGAAGUGGGGGGAGGUUCCUUGCCUUCCUACUUCAAGAAAGUAACAUCUUCACCUUUGAUUUGAUCUGGCUUUUACACACAGGGCAGUGUGUGUGUACUAAGACAGAAGACACUUUUAUUAAGUCACGGGUACUGUGUUCAGCGUUAAUCUACUCAGAAAUCUAAUUUUGACUAAAAAUGUCCAUUAGAAAAAUUUGGAUCAAUGAAAUUUUUUUUUAAUUACAAUUUUCCCAGUUCUACUUUGGGUGAACAAAAAAUAUGAGAAAACAUUUUAAAAUUUCUCAUACAGUCAAUUUUGAUAUUUUCAGGAUGAGGAGUUUCUAUGUUUUAUUUUGAAAUGACUUUUUUGGUUUCAAAAUGUAUUUGAUAGAAAAAGGACCAAGACCAAGUGGUUCAAAUAAACUAGAUUUAAAUGUUUUGUUCAGUCCAAACUGAAUGUUGUCAUUCAACUUUGAAAAACAUUCAAAACACUGAUUUUUUUUUAAUCCCAAAUUGAGAUUAAAAACUAACUCAACAUCGUUUGUGGGAUAGAAAAUCUAUUUUCUGUCCAGCUCAGAGCCAGGGUAAAAUAUGACUUCAUUAAUUAUCCAACUCCUCUGCUCAAGCCCCAGUUAAAAUUAAAGAAAAUCUCCACGUUAGCAGUAUUUUUGGACUGCAGACCUCAUUCUCAGACUGCCUGCUCCUUUGAAACAUGAUGCAAAAAGUUGCCAGAAGGGACUGGAGGAGGAGGGCAUAAUUUAUAGAAUUUUCCAUUAUUCUAAGUCUUGAGGAAGAACAUCAGAGCGUGUUGAUACAGAUGGUGAGGGAUCAAGAUGUUGCUAGAAUCUGGUAAGGCGUUUUCACUGCACCAGGAUCCCUUUGGGACUGGCUGCCACAAAUGAAAAGCGUGGUUAACUGCCCUAAUUAAAUGAUGCAUGGAAAUCUCGACAUUGUAUACAAACUGCUCUGUUUUGAGAACCCCAUCAUCAUUAGCUGAGCGCAGUGAUUUCAAACACCUGUCCCCAGCUCCUGCCUUGCGAGCUGACUCAAGGUGUGCUGUCACAAUGCUCAGUCCAGUCUAGCAGCGGGCAGUAGAGGGCCUUAAUUUAAAGGACACAUUUUUGAGAGGGUGUACACUCAGCACAAAGAUGCCCACUGCAACCACGUCUUGCAAUGCAUUUGGGUAAUGCACCACUCAUUUCCCUAGGCAUUUGUCCUUUGUGAGCAAAUGAGUACAUACUCAUAAGGACAGGACUGACCAUCAUUAUUUA